UACAGAGGUGGCAAGCGUUGUUCGGAAUUACUGGGCGUAAAGGGCGCGUAGGCGGCCUUGUAAGUCCUGUGUGAAAUCCCCCGGCUCAACUGGGGAACUGCACAGGAGACUGCUUGGCUUGAGUUCGGGAGAGGGAAGCGGAAUUCCGGGUGUAGCGGUGAAAUGCGUAGAUAUGUGGAGGAACACCAGUGGCGAAGGCGACUCUCUGGGCUGUAACUGACGCUGAGGCGCGAAAGCGUGGGGAGCAAACAGG
rnacentral:rRNA from 1 species